rnacentral:lncRNA from 1 species
CUCAUAUCACUGUGACACCGGGCAUUUCCGAAUUUUAAAUUUUUUUGGUGAAGAAGUGGACAAGCAAGGAAGAAAAAUUGAAGACAUUUUUUUAUCAAACUUACCUUUAUUGGAAGGUAUUAUGCUUUAUUUAAUAUCAAUCCUUGUAGUAGAGUACUUAGAUUGCCAAUAUAGAUGGAAAUUUAAGACAUCGAGCCCGAAUUUAAUGCGAUAUUNNNNNNNNNNNNNNNNNNNNCCGUUUUCUUGUAGCCAACCAAGGACAAAGUUAAUUCCUUUGCACUUGAAGACCUUGAACUCAUCCAUUAAUUAUUGACGCCAUUUUGAAUUCUGCACACGUGUUUAAAAGAAAAAUUCAAAUUCCCGACCCAGGUUCAAUUUCCCCACCUUCCACUAGAAAAAAAGGUCAAAUUCCCGCCUUCUUAAAAUACUAAACAAGCAAAUUCCCCAGGUAUGCCCGGGGGGGGAUGUCAAGGUUUCGAUUUGAUUCGCGCAUAAGUUAAAAUGAAGUUGUAGCAUUCUCGCAUUCGCCCACAACCUCGUUCCCAGGCUCUUUUAACAUCUUUCAAUUAACAGGCCCAUCCCCGCAUAUAUUUCUCCUUCCCUAUUUUAAAGAGAGCCGACCCCCUGUCGUUUUAAAAUAGCUCGGAAUUUGUCGACUUGCAUCGUACAGUGCCGAGAUCUCGACGGAGUGCCGGGCAUUUCCGAAUUUUAAAUUGUUUUGGUGAAGAAGUGGACAAGCAAGGAAGAAAAAUUGAAGACAUUUUUUUAUCAAACUUACCUUUAUUGGAAGGUAUUAUGCUUUAUUUAAUAUCAAUCCUUGUAGUAGAGUACUUAGAUUGCCAAUAUAGAUGGAAAUUUAAGACAUCGAGCCCGAAUUUAAUGCGAUAUUGCGGCAUAAAGUUUGUGCUUUUGCUUUGCACGUGGUUCACUAAUAUGGGCGAUUUUCUAACUUUGUUAAAGUAAAUUAAAUGUCCAUCAAGUGAGUAAAAAGACUACUAAGAUCUAGAAUUGUUUAAGUUGUCGAAAAAACUUGUUAUUUCUGAGUUCUUGCAGAAAAUUUUUACAUUAUAAAAUGCCGUGUACAGAGACGAGGUGCUUGGUGCCAGUUGGUGGGACGAAUAUUUCUAUUUCAUCAGCUUGUACAUUUCAAUAUUGCGACAAAAUAUUUUAACAAUAUGGUGUUUUUGUUCAUUUUAUAAUAUGCAGAAAAGGCCUUGCUUUAGCAACGUUACAACGUAUUUGAUUCUUGUUUCCAAAACAAAGUUAAUUAGAAAUAAAACUAAAGGUCUGUCUAAAUUAAACGGAUCCAACAUUGUUGGGCCAACAUCAUCCAACAAUGUUAUGCAUGAGUCAAUUCCAACUGCGAUCAUUGACCAGUCAUUGACCAGCAAUUGCCGUGAUCAGUUGGCAUUGCCACAACAUAUAAACAUUUCAAGAAGCAAUGACUGGGUCUGUGUCGGGAAACAGACAAUAUUUUUGGCAUCAAGUUCGACCCUGUUUACACAGUACUGGACGAAUUUGGGACCAGCCUGAAAUUCGUCCUUUUCGGCCGCGUAAACACGCGAAAACAACGGAACAGGAGGAAUUUGUGUGUAAACAGGCGAAAAAGGACGAAUUUCAGACUGGUCCCAAAUUUGUCUGGUACCGUGUAAACAGGGUCUUACAUCGUAAAGCAAAUAACAAAAAAUAGGGUAGGCAGGUAAGCAAACAACCCCAACCACAUCAUGAAAAAAAUAUAAAAUAGGGUUGGCUGGAAAACCAAAACUACAGGAUAUUGUUUUGUUUCAGGCUCUGAUGUUCAUAUUGUGUUUUUCAUCUCACUAACUAACCAAGCUAUUCACACUCUUAGUUAAAUUCUCAUAAAUUUUUGUAGAUGUGCAGUGCAAAUUCCAAGAAUGUUGCAAGACCUCAUGAUUUCGAAAAAUGAACACAUUCCAAGAUCCUGAAUAAGAGGUAAAUUUUUCUUCUAAUUUUUUGUAACUUUCUCCUUGUAUUUCUUUGACAAUUCUCUUUGUAAUUUAUUAAUUUGUUUCAUGUUCUCAAUAAUGAGUUUUUAAAAUUUUCUAGAUGUGUGUUGCAAUUUCCAAGAAUGUCUCAAGUUGUUGGCUGAAGUGUUUUUGAUUACAAAAAUAAACACUGUCAUUGGAAAGUAUAUAAAAGGUCUUAAUAUUUUUCUGUCUUAUCUUACAUGAAAUGAUUUGAACAUUAUAUGAUUGCUUGUGAUCAAUAGUUUCAAAAAUUCCAGCAGAAUAUUGCAAAAAUAGCAUGACCAUGUUACUUAUGACACAAAAUACAACAAAAGUAAUAAAUGCAAUCUUUACACCUAAAUAUGGUGAAUGCACAAUAAUUGCACUCUUUUUGUCCCAGAGCCAACAGUGUAGAGCGCCGUUCCAGGCGUUAUCUUGGGACGAGGGUACUAAUUUAUUAUAAUUUACACCACUAUUUCGACUUGUAUUAAUUUGGAAAAUUUCAGUUUCAUGGUCCCUCAAUUACUUGAUUAAGUUUCAUGUUGCCACUGAUCACAGAAUGUCUAUAAUUUUCAAAGCAUAUAAGCAUUUUAUGUGCAAGUCAGAAAAUGACAAAGUUUUUGUCAAAUAUAAAAAAUGAAAAGUUUGUCAGUAUUUGGCUUUGUUGCAUCAGUUAAACAUUGAGAAGAUUGAGGUGGUUUUUAUUACAAGCCAAAGCGGUUACUUACAAAUAAGGCAUGCGACUUUAUUAGUUUUAAUUCAGGAUUGAGUGUUUUCUUUUAGUCAUGUUUCAGUAUUAUUUUGGAGUAUGUUUUCAUUAAAAGAAUUAAAAGAACAUUGAUGAACAUUUGUCUCAUCAUAAUUUGUGUUUUGAACUUAUCAAAGUGCAGUGUGAAAACA